AAUCACCAGCCAACUUCCUUUCUCUGGAUUUGCCCAUUCUGGACACCUGUUGUGAGGAGAAUCGUACAGUGCAUGACCUUUGGUGUGACCUUCGGUGCUGACAUCUUUCACGUCUAAGGCCACACCUGCAAAUACCUCCAUCUGAAGUGGCAUCUUUUGUAAGUCAUUCUUUAUAUAAAGGCGGCCGUUAGUGGAACAAGUGGUUCUGCAGGUUCAUAGUUCAGAGGCACCAGUGCUCUCCCAAGAUAACCAUAAAAUCCGCAGAAGACGCACCUGUGCGCACUUCCUGUUUCUCACUCAGAACAUUCCAGAAGGAACCCUGAAUCCCAAUGCCACAGCGGGACUGAAGUUUGCUCUCACCCACACAAUAAACCCAGGGAGCUCCCCCAGCCCCCACCCCGA